GAAAAAUUGAGAUUUACCCUCCUUACACUUAUUUACCCCCUCUUCACCCCCACCCAAACAGAGCCUGAAUAGUUUCUUCGAUUUGUAUAGAAUUUCUGUUCAUUCCUGCAACAAUUAUUUAAUUUUAUCGCAAAAAUGGGCAGCAAGAGCAGGAAGAAGCACAGAGAGGACACGCCCACAUCACCCUCAAACUCCGACGAUGAUGACUCGGAAAGCUCGGACGAUAGACGGGGGGUCCGUCGGAAGGACCGGCGAAGCAGCGAUGGGAGUUCGAGGAGAGAGAAGGACAGGAAGAGAGAAAAGAGAGAUGAGAAGAGAAGAAAGAGAAGAGAAAGAAGGGAAAGGGAAAGAGAUAGGGAUAGGAAGAGAAGGAAAUCAAGGAAGAAGAGGAAUUAUGACUCGGAAUCUGAAUCUGCGUUUGGGUCGGAGUCCGAUUCUGGUUCUGAUACGGAGGAGCAGCAGAGACAACGAGUCAAGCCGGAAGAUGUAGUGAAAGAGAUGUUGAUGGAGUUUCCUGAUGUUGGAGGUGACCUGAAGCAGCUUCUCCAAAUGAUCGACGCUGGCCAAGCUGUUGACAUAAAGGGUAUCUCUGAGAGGUCUUUAAUCAAGCAUCUGAAGAAGCUUUUUGUUUCCUUGAACCUCAAAGAAAAUGGAGAUAGAUUAUUUUUGCUGCCUUCAAAUACUUGUCCUACCUUGGAGCUUGUUGGACCCCUCAUCGAGGCCCAUAUAGAAUCUAAAAAGCAACGGCUUGAUGAUGUGCAUUCUGUACCGCCUGCUGCAGAAAGUAAACAACUUUCAGAUGACAACAACUCGGUAAUGCCAUCUCCAGGAGAUGAUGCUUCUGGUCCAAGAAGAAGGAUGAUUGGCCCUGAAAUGCCCUCAGCUGAGUUACUUGCUGCUGCAGCAAAAUUAACAGAAGCACAAGCUAACCUGAGAGAAGCUGAGUUGGAAGAAGAUACUGAACUUUUUAUAGGACCUGCCCCACCUGCUAUGGUUGCUGAAGCUGAAUCUGCAAAUGAGGCAGAGCGUUUUGAAGAGGUGACGAGAAUAAUGGGUGUUGAAGGUGAUUCUUCAUAUGAUGUUGUAGGAGCGAAUCAUAAUACCUCUGCUGAAAAUAUAAAGAAGAGGUACUGGAAGCUGUCUCUUUUGGUGCAUCCAGAUAAGUGUUCUCAUCCUCAAGCCCACCAAGCAUUUAUCAAAUUGAAUAAAGCAUUUAAAGAGUUACAAGAUCCAGAUAAGCGAAAAUUGCUGGAUGAGAAAAUUAAACUCAAGGAGGAAGAGGAACAGUUUAAGGUUGAGUUGAAAGCCAUGCGUGAAGCUGCACAGUGGAGAAGAUCACAAGGUAUAUCAAUGGAGGGUGAUGAUGAGCUCCUGGCAGAAAUUGAAGUUAAAGUGGCCCCAAAAAGAGAUGAAUGGAUG
rnacentral:misc_RNA from 1 species